rnacentral:piRNA from 1 species
UCCUUCCAUGCCAUGCUAGUCAUUGCCCACC